rnacentral:tRNA from 1 species
GCCUGGGUGGCGCAGUCGGUUAAGCGUCUGACUUCGGCUCAGGUCACGAUCUCGCGGUCCGUGGGUUCGAGCCCCGCGUCAGGCU